rfam:Aedes albopictus isolate Foshan contig5404, whole genome shotgun sequence.
UGCCCAGCAACUCCUAUCCCUACCUCCGCGUGGUAUCGGCUGGAAACUACGAGCAACCUUAGGGAAUAUCGG